GUGGCCGAGCACGACAAGGACGUGCAGCAGCUCUGCGAGACCCUGGAGCAGCAGAUCCAGCAGGAGCAGCUGCGGCUGCAGCAGCAGGUGGGUGCCCAUCGCCUCCUGUGCCCCUGCUGUCCCUACCGGGGGUGCCCAGCACCCCAAACCCCUGGGCAGCUGCCAGGGGGUGGUCAGAGGGUGCCAGUGUCCUUGUGCCACCAGAGCAUGGCCCGGAGCCGGCAGCAGGGCGAGGAGCUGCAGCGGGUGCUGGAUGCCAGCGAGAGGGAGGUGCAGCGCUUGGUCACGGCGCAGAUGGAGCUGGAGCGGCGCUGCCACAGCCUGCAGAGCUCCCAGCAAGCGACCAGCACGGAGAACCAGCAGCUGCAGGAGAGCAACCGGGCCCUGCAGCAGCACCUGCAGCACCUGCACCAGCAGCUGCAGCACACCCAGGGCCACCUGAGGACCAUGAGGGCGACAGUGGCCUGGGAGCACAUGGGGGAGCCCGGGGACAGAGUGGUGGCAGAGUUGCCCAUCGUGGUGCCAUUGUCCCCACAGCUGAGUCCUGGGAAGAGCGAGAAGUUCCGCUCCG
rnacentral:lncRNA from 1 species